rnacentral:tRNA from 1 species
GAUGUAGCUCAGUGGUAGAGUGUUUGCCUAGCAUACACAAGGCCCUGUGUUUGAUUCCCAAAACCA